GACGAACGCUGGCGGCGUGCUUAACACAUGCAAGUCGAACGGAAAGGCCCUGCUUGCAGGGUACUCGAGUGGCGAACGGGUGAGUAACACGUGGGUGAUCUGCCCUGCACUUCGGGAUACGCCUGGGAAACUGGGUCUAAUACCGGCUAGGAGCCAUUUUUAGUGUGAUGGUUGGAAAGUUUUUUCGGUGUAGGAUGAGCUCGCGGCCUAGCAGCUUGUUGGUGGGGUAAUGGCCUACCAAGGCGGCGACGGGUAGCCGGCCUGAGAGGGUGGACGGCGACAUUGUGACUGAGAUACGGCCCGGACGCCGACGGGAGUCAUCAGUGGGGAAUAUUGCACAAUGGGCGCAAGCCUGAUGCAGCGACGCCGCGUGGGUGAUUACUGCCUUCGUGUUGUAAGCUCCUAUCGCUAGGGACGAAGCUUUUUGUGACGGUACCUAGAUAAGAAGCACCGGCUAACUACGUG
rnacentral:rRNA from 1 species